rnacentral:rRNA from 1 species
UAGUCCACACCGUAAACGAUGAGAGCUAGUUGUCUGCAAGCAUGCUUGUAGGUGACGCAGCUAACGCAUUAAGCUCUCCGCCUGGGGAGUACGGUCGCAAGAUUAAAACUCAAAGAAAUUGACGGGGGCCCGCACAAGCGGUGGAGCAUGUGGUUUAAUUCGAGGCAACGCGCAGAACCUUACCUACCCUUGACAUACUUAUCGCGGUUACCGGAGACGGUUUCCUUCAGUUCGGCUGGAUAAGAUACAGGUGCUGCAUGGCUGUCGUCAGCUCGUGUCGUGAGAUGUUCGGUUAAGUCCGGCAACGAGCGCAACCCACAUCCUUAGUUGCCAGCAGUUCGGCUGGGCACUCUAGGGAAACUGCCCGUGAUAAGCGGGAGGAAGGUGUGGAUGACGUCAAGUCCUCAUGGCCCUUACGGGUUGGGCUACGCACGCGCUACAAUGGCAGUGACAAUGGGUUAAUCCCAAAAAGCUGUCUCAGUUCGGAUUGGGGUCUGCAACUCG